GAUGAACGCUAGCGACAGGCUUAACACAUGCAAGUCGAGGGGUAACAGGGGAGCUUGCUCCCGCUGACGACCGGCGCACGGGUGCGUAACGCGUAUACAACCUGCCUCAAAGCGAGGGAUAACCCAGAGAAGUUUGGACUAAUACCUCAUAGUAUAUAUUAGAGGCAUCUUUGAUAUAUUAAAGAUUUAUUGCUUUGAGAUGGGUAUGCGUAUGAUUAGCUAGUUGGUAAGGUAACGGCUUACCAAGGCUACGAUCAUUAGGGGUUCUGAGAGGAAGGUCCCCCACACUGGUACUGAGACACGGACCAGACUCCUACGGGAGGCAGCAGUGAGGAAUAUUGGUCAAUGGGCGAGAGCCUGAACCAGCCAAGUCGCGUGAAGGAAGACGGUCCUAUGGAUUGUAAACUUCUUUUGUACAGGAGUAAAGUGAGUUACGAGUAACUUUUUGCAAGUACUGUACGAAUAAGCAUCGGCUAACUCCGUGCCAGCAGCCGCGGUAAUACGGAGGAUGCGAGCGUUAUCCGGAUUUAUUGGGUUUAAAGGGUGCGCAGGCGGUAUUACAAGUCAGAGGUGAAAUCUUGGUGCUUAACAUUAAAAUUGCCUUUGAAACUGUAGUACUUGAGUGUAAAAGAGGUAGGCGGAAUGUGUUGUGUAGCGGUGAAAUGCUUAGAUAUAACACAGAACACCGAUUGCGAAGGCAGCUUACUAUAAUACAACUGACGCUCAUGCACGAAAGCGUGGGGAUCAAACAGG
rnacentral:rRNA from 1 species